rnacentral:rRNA from 1 species
UUGACCUCAAAUCGAGUAGGACUACCCGCUGAACUUAAGCAUAUCAAUAAGCGGAGGAAAAGAAACUAACAAGGAUUCCCCUAGUAACGGCGAGUGAAGAGGGAAGAGCUCAAAUUUUGAAUCUGACACCUUUGGUGUCAGAGUUGUA